rnacentral:rRNA from 1 species
CUUGUGGAGUUAAAUAACUCAUGUAUUGCCAACCUCAAAUUUAUUCUUCUCUGUUUUGAAGCCUUGUCGGGGCUCAAAAUUAACUUUUCUAAGAGUGAGGCUAUUAUCACUGGUGUUGACGAGGCCGAAGCGUUACGGGUUUCCCAGUUGCUCAAUUGCUCCUUGGGUGCUUUUCCCUUCAAAUAUUUAGGUCUCCCUAUCUCCCCGUGUCGGCUAUGUUCUAAGGAGUUUAAGCCAUUGGUGGCUAAAGUGGGGAACAGAGUUUUACCUUGGCAUGGCAGGUAUAACACUUCUGCUGGCAAAGUGGCCCUUACUAAUUCUUGUCUCUCUUCCCUACCGAUGUUCACCAUGGGCUUCUUUAGAUUAACUAAAGGUACCCAUGCGGGUUUCUACAAGCAUAGAGGGGCCUUCUUUUGGAACUCUGCUGAGAACAAGCGUAAAUACAUGCUAGUUAAAUGGGACAAUAUUUGCAAACCUAAAAGCCUUGGGGGGCUUGGGAUUGUCAAUACACAGGUGAUGAAUACGUGUCUCAUUGUGAAAUGGUGGUGGAGGAUCAUGACUGCCAAUCCUGGUUCUUUAUGGCUU